rnacentral:tRNA from 1 species
AUCUAAAUAGCUUAUAAUAAUUAAAGUAUAAUAUUGAAGAUAUUAAGAAAAUAAGAUUUAUUUUUAGAUA